CCUACGGGAGGCAGCAGUGGGGAAUAUUGCGCAAUGGGCGAAAGCCUGACGCAGCGACGCCGCGUGAGGGAUGAAGGUCUUCGGAUCGUAAACCUCUGUCAGCAGGGAAGAACGGUCACUGUGCUAACUAGCAGUGAAUUGACGAUACCUGCCAAGGAAGCACCGGCUAACUCCGUGCCAGCAGCCGCUGUAAUACGGAGGGUGCGAGCGUUAAUCGGAAUUACUGGGCGUAAGGCGAUCGUAGUCGGUAGGGCAAGCCAAGGGUGAACUCCCCGCGCUCAACGUGGGAACUGCCUUUGAAACUGGGAGACUGGAGUGUGUGAGAGGUUAGUGGAAUUCCAGGUGUAGGGGUGAAAUGCGUAGAUAUCUGGAGGAACAUCAGUGGCGAAGGCGACUAUCUGGCACAUAACUGACGCUGAGGAGCGAAAGCGUGGGUAGCAAACAGGAUUAGAUACCCCUGUAGUC
rnacentral:rRNA from 1 species